rnacentral:rRNA from 1 species
ACCCUUGUUUUUAGUUACCAGCGGGUUAUGCCGGGUACUCUAGAAAGACUGCCGUCGUCAAGACGGAGGAAGGUGGGGAUGACGUCAAGUCAUCAUGGCCCUUAUGCCCCGGGCUGCACACGUGCUACAAUGGUCGGUACAAACGGAAGCGAAGCCGAGAGGUGGAGCGAAUCCUAAAAAGCCGAUCUCAGUUCGGAUUGGAGGCUGAAAUUCGCCUCUAUGAAGUUGGAAUCGCUAGUAAUCGCGGAUCAGCAUUGCCGCGGUGAAUAUGUUCCCGAGCCUUGUACACACCGCCCGUCAAGCCACCCAAGCAGGAUGCACCCGAAAACAUUAUAUCUAACCAGGCUUGCCUGGAGGAAAGUGUUGAAGGAGUGUUUUGUGAGGAGGACUAAGUCGUAACAAGGUAGUCGUAGGAGAACCUGCGGCUGGAUCACCUCCUUU